UACGUAGGUCCCGAGCGUUGUCCGGAUUUAUUGGGCGUAAAGCGAGCGCAGGUGGUUUAUUAAGUCUGGUGUAAAAGGCAGUGGCUCAACCAUUGUAUGCAUUGGAAACUGGUAGACUUGAGUGCAGGAGAGGAGAGUGGAAUUCCAUGUGUAGCGGUGAAAUGCGUAGAUAUAUGGAGGAACACCGGUGGCGAAAGCGGCCUACUGGACGGUGACUGACGCUGAGGCUCGAAAGCGUGGGGAGCAAACAGG
rnacentral:rRNA from 1 species